rnacentral:lncRNA from 1 species
GGUGACUUUGCAGUGUCUGCUUUCUAAGUUUCAAAGUGACUUUCCAGGCAAGCUGCGCAUAUCUUGGGAUCUUCACAGCACAGUGGCUGGGAAGGCAGGCGGACCCGUCUAUCAGCUUCUCCCUGAAGACUACCAAAGCAAACCAGAGGACCAGAGAACAGCAGCUGCUCUGGACAAAGAGGGGAGGACACCCACACCCACAUACCAAGUUCUGGUUGACUUCUACAGCAGAAGAAGCAGGAGACACAAGAAGGGGAAGACACAAGGAAGCUGGGCAUGAUGGCCAAGUGUUAGAGGGUUACACUACUGCCUUCUGCUUCUGAUCUGAUUGAGUCACAGCUGAGAUGUGGCACCAGGACUCUUGGCUACACUCAGUUCUCUCAGUUUGACUGAGUACUCUGGGAUCACAGAAGUGACUACAUGAUGCUUCAGGCCCAAAGCAACAGGGCCCACCAGCCAUAGACAGAACUGUCUGAAGCUGUGAGCCCAAAGAAAUUCCUCCAUCUUGUUUUCCUGGGACUCUGUCACACUGAUGAAAAGUUCUAUGAUUCUAGGCUUUAGUAAGAAGGCCUUCGGAAUCUCCAAAGAAACCAAACGUGUACGUGGGAAGAAGUGUACUUGGUUCGUGUGAUUAUGGAGUCUGACAAGUUCAAAAUCUUCAGUGAGAGCUGUCUGGCUGUAUUCACGAAGAACCGAUGCCAUACUGUCUGGCUGGCAUUAGAGCCCUCUGGAUGCUGUGUGAGCUGCAUGUGAGUUUUGUGAGUUAUGAGUCACAGGUGGCUCCAACCCUGCUUUCUGUCCUUCAGUCUCCCAUUCAGCACCCAACAGAAGAUGCUAGGCACCACUCUGCAUCCUCAAGGGAUAUCGUAUGAAGCAAGAGGCAGGUUUUCUUGGGUCCACAGCAACAUCAAAAAAGAGCAAAACGGACAUGCAAAUAAAUCUAUUUUAGCAUUUGAGACAGACGUCCAACUGAGGAACAUGAUCAGAAGAUGCCAGCCAGUAUAAACAUAUUUUGAAAAUAUGUAUUUCAUUUCUUAUAUAUGUACAUUUGUUCUCGUCGAAAAUAAAGAUCAAAUCAAAUUUCA